CCAAUCUCUCCUAAAAGAUCUGUGUCGACAAAGAAAACUCAUUUCCGCAUUGAAACGUCUCUCCCUUAAGUUGAGAGACAUGCGGACUUCUCGCCCCUCCAAGAAAGGUCGAAAAAUUACGGAAGUCUCUCUUAAGGUCAAGUGGGUUACUAAACUUCAAGGGCUGCUCUCUCCCGCUGUCGCCCGAGCUCACCGUGACAGGCAUAGAGAGUGAAACCGCAGAUAUUCUGAAAAGCGUCAUGCAGCCGCUUUGCUUGACUUUUCUAACUAUUCACGGCUGCAAGUACAGGAUCAUAUUUAAAAGUGGCGAUGAUUUGCGGCAGGACCAGUUGACCAUCCAGCUCUUCAAGUUGAUGGACGAGCUGUUACGUAAAGAGCAACUGGACUUGAAGUUGACUCCUUACAGGGUACUGGCCACCGACGUGGACACCGG